rnacentral:rRNA from 1 species
GAUGAACGCUAGCGACAGGCCUAACACAUGCAAGUUGAGGGGUAUUGCAGCAAUGCAAGAGACCGGCGCACGGGUGCGUAACGCGUAUGUAACCUGCCUUACACAGAGGGAUAGCCUUCCGAAAGGGAGAUUAACACCACAUAACAUCAAGAUGCCGCAUGGUAUUUUGCUUAAAUCUCAGGAGGUGUAAGAUGGGCAUGCGUAUGAUUAGCUAGUUGGCGGGGUAACGGCCCACCAAGGCGACGAUCAUUAGGGGUUCUGAGAGGAAGAUCCCCCACACUGGUACUGAGACACGGACCAGACUCCUACGGGAGGCAGCAGUGAGGAAUAUUGGUCAAUGGGCGCAAGCCUGAACCAGCCAUGUCGCGUGCAGGACGACUGCCCUAUGGGUUGUAAACUGCUUUUGUAUGGGAAGAAACGACGGCACGAGUGCUGUUUUGCCGGUACCAUACGAAUAAGGAUCGGCUAACUCCGUG